rnacentral:rRNA from 1 species
UACAGAGGGUGCAAGCGUUGUUCGGAAUUAUUGGGCGUAAAGGGAGUGUAGGCGGUUAGUUAAGUCUUCUGUGAAAGCUGCGGGCUUAGCCUGCCAAAGUGCAGAGGAAACUGGCUGACUUGAGUAUCGGAGAGGGCAGGGGAAUACCCAGUGUAGAGGUGAAAUUCGUAGAGAUUGGGUGGAACACCAGUGGCGAAGGCGCCUGCCUGGCUGAUUACUGACGCUGAGACGUCGAAAGCAU